AUGCACGCCAGGCUGCUCGGCGCUCCGUCCCGCGCCUCCGCCUGCACCUCCUCCUCGUCCUUCCCCUCCGCCGGCCGCCACCCGUGCCGCGCGUCCUGGAAGCCGCGGCCGCCAAGCCGGAGCUCCGCCUCGCCGCCGCCUCUCUCGCUGUUGCGCGCCGGCGCAUCCAUGGAGCCCGCUUCGACGGAGGGGCAGAGCGACCCGACUGUGCACGGCGUGGCCGAUAGGGUCGUUGGGGUGCUGGGGGGCGGCCAGUUGGGGAAGAUGCUGUGCCAGGCGGCCAGUCAGAUGGGGAUCAAAGUGGCCAUCCUGGACCCCCUCAAGGACUGCCCCGCAAACUCCGUCUGUCACGAGCAUGUCGUGGGGAGCUUUAAUGAUGGUGACGCGGUCCGUGAGUUCGCGAAGAGGUGUGAUGUUCUAACUGUGGAAAUUGAGCAUGUGGAUGCUGUGGCACUUGAGAAGCUUGAAAAACAGGGUGUUGUUUGUGAACCCAAAGCCUCUACCAUCGCGAUUAUUCAGGACAAGUACAGGCAGAAAGGCCAUUUCUCAAAAUUUGGAAUUCCGAUAGCUGACUUUGUUGAAGUUGAUACUUUAAGUAGCAUAGAGAAUGCUGGGGAAAUGUUUGGCUAUCCCUUAAUGGUUAAAAGCAAAAGAUUGGCAUAUGAUGGUCGUGGGAAUGCUGUUGCUCACAAUAAAGAGGAGCUAUCUUCUGUUGUUUCUUCACUGGGUGGAUUUGAGCAUGGCCUGUAUGUUGAGCGGUGGACACCUUUUGCGAAGGAGCUAUCUGUAAUUGUGGCAAGGAGCAGAGAUGGUUGUACAGUCUGUUAUCCUGUCGUUGAAACCAUUCAUAAGGAUAACAUCUGCCAUGUUGUUGAAGCUCCUGCUCAGAUACCUGAGAAAAUGAAGAAGUUAGCUACCAGUGUAGCUGAAAAAGCUAUCAAAUCGUUAGAAGGUGCUGGUGUUUUCGCUGUCGAACUAUUUUUAACAAAUGACAAUCAGGCUUUAUUGAACGAAGUAGCCCCUAGACCUCACAAUAGUGGACACCAUACAAUCGAGGCAUGUUACACUUCACAAUAUGAGCAACAUUUACGUGCUAUUCUUGGACUUCCUCUUGGUGAUCCUGCAAUGAAAGCACCCGCAGCAAUAAUGUACAACAUCCUGGGCGAGGAUGAGGGCGAUUCGGGAUUUGUUUUAGCCCAUCAGCUGAUUAAGAGGGCGUUAAAUAUUCCAGGUGCAUCAGUCCAUUGGUAUGCAAAGCCAGAGAUUCGGAAGCAAAGAAAGAUGGGUCAUAUUACAAUUGUGGGGCCUUCUAUGUUCGAUGUAAAAGCACAUUUGGACAGGUUGCUGCAAAGAGACACAGAUGGCCCAAAGAAAGUUAGACCUCGUGCUGCGGUUAUAAUGGGCUCGGAUUCUGAUCUUCCCAUAAUGAAAGAUGCUGCAGCAAUACUGGAGAAAUUCAACAUACCUUUUGAGCUUACAAUUGUUUCGGCACAUCGUACACCAGAGAGGAUGUACGCUUAUUCAUUGUCUGCUAAGGAAAGGGGCUUAGAGGUCAUUAUUGCAGGCGCAGGUGGAGCAGCUCACUUACCAGGCAUGGUGGCUUCAUUGACUACUCUCCCUGUAAUUGGAGUCCCCAUCUGGACUAAGUCAUUACAGGGAACGGAUUCUCUCCUAUCUAUUGUGCAGAUGCCGAAAGGUAUUCCUGUUGCUACUGUUGCAAUUGGAAAUGCUGAAAAUGCAGGCUUGUUGGCAGUUCGGAUGCUUGCCUCAAGAGAUACUGAGUUGUCGGACAGGGUAAAUGAAUACCAGCAAAAUCUGGAAGACAGUGUGUUGGUCAAAGCAAGAUUGCUCGAGGAAUUAGGUUGGGACAAAUAUCUGGAGCAAUGUAUGAAGCCUUGA
rnacentral:rRNA from 1 species